ensembl:piRNA 21ur-5813 ncRNA
UUCUUCAGCAUAUGGAUCAAA